rnacentral:sRNA from 1 species
GUUAGAUGGGUUUUAAAACAGAUAAACAAAAUAAAAAAUAGAUGGUGAUUUUAGCUUAUUUCAGUAAUCACCCAGUGUCUGCGUAGUCUUUGUUCUACACCCUAACUAGCUAAAUGGUUGUUGAGUGGUUCCCAUUGUUCUUCUCAAUCUUGGCUUAACAAUUGGUCAUAGAUACCAAACUUUAUAAAAGGUAAAGGUUGAGCAAGUACGUGCUAAUAAAAGCCAACCAAGGGAGCAAGACACAAAUGCCAGCUUUUGAUAUCAUCUGUGGGUGAUAGAAUUUAAUCCUGCCCCCAUGCAUAUGCUGAAAUUUCUUUAGGAUUUAUGUUUUUGCAAAUCAUAGGAAACUUAAUUAAAACUAUCUUUACAACAACAGGUCUUGUUGGGUGUUAUAACUGAGAUGCCCUGGCCCGAUCCGGGACCACAAAUAUGACAGAAUAGCUUUGUCCCUUUCAUCCCUUCAUCCUGCUGGCUUCAGCUCUCCAACUGGAACCAGGAACCCGUUGGAAGAAGACAGACCCUUUCUCUGGUCUCAGGAUGGGAAACAAGUACUACCCACAGAAUGCCAGCCACACUCAGAGUGCAUUUUCAUGUCCAGAGUGACUGUGUCUCAUAGUACGAUCACGAAAGUCACCACGUGAAUCAUGGAAGUGAGAUACUUGGAAUGGUCUGGGGUUCAGAAAGAUUCAGGACCUUUCUCUCCAAAUAGUGGCUAGCUGGGAGACUGUCCUCACACGCAAAGUCACACACACGCAUCAACCUGAGGAGGAAAGGAAACUGAAGAAAAGCCACCCUGGACAGUAACACUCACCCAGGACCUUUCCUUUCUCCUGACCCUGAACUCACUCUUUCUUAAGCCCUGUCCAGGCAACGGCACACAGGCAUAUUUGACAGUAGUGCCUAGAGGGAAGUUCAGUUGGGUUUCCAGGGGCAUAUGCAGCUGUUGUGGUUCUGUGGCUACCCAGAUGCUGCUGGGGUGAUCUUGGGAGGGAAGUAGAAAGACUCUCCACAUCCCAGGUUUCAGCUGUGUAAGCAACACGAUUGUGAGGAGGAAGAUGAGAGAGACCUCUGUGGGGUCUACCCCAGUGUCCUGUCUUGUAUACUGCUAUGUUAUGUGGCUAUCCAAGUUGUUGAAUAGUUAAUUCUCUAUAAAUAAUUGUUAAAUAAAGUUACUCAAGUUUCCA